GGAAGCACAAUGUCAUGACCACAUUGAAUGCCAAGGGCUUUUACUUCAGCUGGAUGGUACUUGGGAGAAUAUGUCUCUCUGGACACGUCUGAGUCUAUCCAAGAAAAGCAACAGUUCUGGGACACUCUGCGCCUGUCGGCCACAAGGCCAGGCAGGAACUAGAAGAGCUGGGAACAUUUUAUAACACAACAUGGGAAAGGAAAACCCAAACUGUCUAUAUGGAACCUACAUCGGCUGUAGAUGGUGCUGUGCUAGAUCAAACUGUGCCAAUGGACCUGGAUGUGACCUUGGACACGCGGGCCAUUUGUAACCCAAGGAGAGGGACUCUCGCACAGGGAGAGAUUAAAUGGUGGAGCGUGGUGAGCUGACAGAGGAGAACCUAGUGAAAGCAGCAAAAAGAUUUAAGACAGAGGCAGGAGUUAACCUUGGAGGCGCCAGGAGACCGCGACCAGCCCAAGUCCCUCAGAUGCGGCUGUCUUUGGAGAGAUCUUUGCUGGGCCCUGAUCCAGUGUGGCUGUGCCUUGGAAGGAGAACUUUGACGGACACUCCCAGGAGGACCAUGUGAAGACGGAGGAGGCAGCCUCCACAAGCCCAGGAGAGGCUCAAACUUGGACUCAGAUGUAGUUUGAGACACAGGUGCUGUGGGUGAAGCCCCUUGGUCUGGGGUGCUUCCCCCUCCAGGGAGGGUGCCUCUGCUCUGCACUCCAGAUCGUUCUGGGCUGGAGCAUCCUUUGAAGAUCGUGGAUUCCAAUGCCAGGGUCGAGUGGCGCCCAGCUCCCCAGCUCCGGCUGGCGCAUUCUGGCCUGAGUCCUACUCUUGCAUCUCUUGGGGGUGCUCAGACAGAGGCUCAACAGAGUCACCACGGUGACCACCCUACUGUGCCCUCAUUGCCUGCUCUCCUUUCCCUGCUGUGAAAGCGACCCUCUCACCUGGAAGGAAAGGGCCACGGUUGGCCUAUUUGGUUCCCAGGUUUUUCUGAUGGGAUAAAUGGCCGACUUCCCAGCCUGGGAGGAGGGGCCUUCCCAAUCUCCCCACCUGACUCCUCAGCCAGGGACCAGCAUGGCCGUCGGUGACAGCCCACGCUAGUCCUCCCUGCUCAGCCUUGGCCUCCUUCUGUGCCCAAGAAAGACAGCAGGGUGUGGGGAGCAGAGAAACCCAGCCCUAUUUCCUCCUGUGCCUCAAAACUGAAACCCCAUUCAUCCUCUGGCCUCCAACUGGAGGUCGGCCUUGUGUUCCUUUCUUUGGCUUCUGGCCCGUGACUUGACAAAAAAGAACCUGGCGUCCUGUGGGCCAAAUCCAGAGGUUUCUUUGCUUUCUUUCUUCUCCCCUGCCCACCCCUCCCCCCGGGGUUUAAAGUCAGUCUCCAGAUGCCCACUGUCCUGCUGGUUUUGAGUUCAGCCAGGCAGGAUUUCCUUACGGGACACACGGCCAUUCUCUCCCUGUCCCUCUCCCCACCGC